rnacentral:rRNA from 1 species
GAUUGAACGCUGGCGGCAGGCCUAACACAUGCAAGUCGAGCGGAUGACGGGAGCUUGCUCCUGGAUUCAGCGGCGGACGGGUGAGUAAUGCCUAGGAAUCUGCCUGGUAGUGGGGGAUAACGUCCGGAAACGGGCGCUAAUACCGCAUACGUCCUGAAGGAGAAAGUGGGGGAUCUUCGGACCUCACGCUAUCAGAUGAGCCUAGGUCGGAUUAGCUAGUUGGUGGGGUAAAGGCCUACCAAGGCGACGAUCCGUAACUGGUCUGAGAGGAUGAUCAGUCACACUGGAACUGAGACACGGUCCAGACUCCUACGGGAGGCAGCAGUGGGGAAUAUUGGACAAUGGGCGAAAGCCUGAUCCAGCCAUGCCGCGUGUGUGAAGAAGGUCUUCGGAUUGUAAAGCACUUUAAGUUGGGAGGAAGGGCAGUAAGUUAAUACCUUGCUGUUUUGACGUUACCAACAGAAUAAGCACCGGCUAACUUCGUG